AAAAAAAUCAAAUUUCUCCUAGUAGCGGUGAGUGAACAGGGAGGAGCCCAGCGCCGAAUCCUUGCCUCGAGCAGGGAAAUGUGGCGUUUGGGCGAGUCGGGAAUGUGGAUCUAGAGUGCGCGGGGUCCCCACGAUCGGGGCAUUUUCCUGAGAGGGUGUGAGGCCCGUUCUCGCGCGCCUUGGUUCCCUCUCGGUUCGCCCGCGAGUCGGGUUGCUUGGGAGUGCAGCCCUAAGACUUGUGGUAAACUCCACCCAAGGCUAAAUACGACCGUGAGACCGAUAGCAAACAAGUACCGUGAGGGAAAAUUGAAAAGAACUUUGAAGAGAGAGUUCAAUAGAACGUGAAACUGCUCAGAGGGAAACGGGUGGGCCCUCGAAGUUCAGUGUCGGGGGCGUUCAGGCCCGGUGUCGUCUGCUUCCGCCGAAGCGAGUGAAGGAGCGCCCCUCACGUGGGGGCGCCGUCCUCGCGCCCAGGAGGCGGUUCGGCCCGGGUGCACUCGUCCCCUUCCAGAGGACGCCGCACCCCGUUCGUCUUAGUGGGCCGUGAGGGCGGAUACUCGUAUGUGGACUCCGAACUUUUUUGAAUGUUCCGAUCUCUUCCGCCCGGGUCCGCAGCGGACGGUGGCUUCCGACUCGUCGCCUCCUAAUUAUGUACUCUUGUCUGUGCCGGUGGGUUCUCGGGUAGCCGUGCGCACGCUCUCCGGGCGUGGCCGGUGGCCCUCCUCGCAGGCGCCGCCUUUAUUUUUUCCCUUUGGAGGCCGACGGUGUUGCGGCGCAGUAGGUCGGUGCCCCACCCGACCCGUCUUAAAACACGGACCAAGGAGUCUAACUC